UCGAAGAGGCGGUUUCUAAAUUCGCCGGUGGUUUCCUAUUUUGAAAAUAUAAUGACGGUUUAUAGAGGGGGCUAUUAAUUUCGUCGCUAAACAAUAUGAGAGUAAAAUGACACGCGUAGAGUAAUUAAAUACUAGCCUCUAGCCUUCUAGAACCUUUCCAAAAAGAAAGAUUGUAGAAAACUAUUUUCUACCCUAAUCAGAAAUCAAUCGUGAGAGAACCUCACUUUUCCACUCCUCUUUACUCAAAGACAACAUCAUUUUCCCUCUUCUCUGAAUGUAUGAAGAUCGGAAUGUAGAUGAAGAACAGGUUUUGGUAGAUUGAUUUGAUUUUGUAAUUACUUGGCCGAUUGUGGCAAAAAAUGAAGAUUGAUUCUCUGAAUGUGCGAAGAUCGGAAUGUAGAUGAGAGACGAUGAUAUAAGCUCUAAAAUUUUGAUAUCGGUUCAGUUUAUGAAAAAAAUUCUAUUUGUUUUUGUAUGUUUGGCUUUCUGAAGAAAGAAUUGUUGUAGUCUGCAGAGUUUGAUGCUCACUCAUAUUGAUUUUUGAUAUUUCUUCUGCGAGUGGAAGUUUCAGGAGUACUUUCUUGUGUAGCCACAUCAGUACUUGCUGUUUGCGUUCGUAUCCAGGUGAACAAAAAAAACAAGGGAUUCAAGUGAUGAAGCAUUGACAGUCCACAAACCUGGAACUCAAACUUAAAAGUUUUUGUUAUGCCUCUGACAUGAUCCUAAUGUUCACAUCGUAUGGAUAGAGAAUGCAGAUGCUAGAUUGAAGGCCCUUUGUGAUAUUGAGCCAGCAUGGAGUAGGCAAAGAACAAUAUUGUGCUCAUACACUCAAAGCAUCAACAGUUAUAUUGCAGUUAUUGAAGAUGAAGAAGUAGAAAUUGUAUUCAUUCAAAUUAUCAGUUUAUGUUUUAUUUUACUCGUACACUUGGAGUAUCAAUGGUUAUAACUAGCCUUAUAAGCUUUGUAAUUCUAUAUACAUAUUCUGUGACUUUUAUUUUGAUGUAAUCAAAUUUUAGUAGUACAAUGUGAUGUACUUUUAAGACCCA